AGUGAACGCUGGCGGUAGGCCUAACACAUGCAAGUCGAACGGCAGCACAGUAAGAGCUUGCUCGUACGGGUGGCGAGUGGCGGACGGGUGAGGAAUACAUCGGAAUCUACUUUUUCGUGGGGGAUAACGUAGGGAAACGUACGCUAAUACCGCAUACGACCUACGGGUGAAAGCAGGGGAUCUUCGUACCUUGCGCGAUUGAAUGAGCCGAUGUCGGAUUAGCUAGUUGGCGGGGGAAAGGCCCACCAAGGCGACGAUCCGUAGCUGGUCUGAGAGGAUGAUCAGCCACAAUGGAAGUGAGAGACGGGCCAGACUCCUACGGGAGGCAGCAGUGGGGAAUAUUGGAAGAUGGGAGCAAGCCUGAUCCAGCCAUACCGCGUGGGUGAAGAAGGCCUUCGGGUUGUAAAGCACUUUUGUUGGGAAAGAAAAGCAGCAGGUUAAUACCCCGCUGUUCUGACGGUACCCAAAGAAUAAGCACCGGCUAACUUCGUG
rnacentral:rRNA from 1 species